GGAUGUGAGGCCAAUCUGGCUGGGACAUCUGCCACCCCAUGGAUCUCCAGGGUUGAUUCGGCUGAUCUGGCUGGCUAGGCUGGUGUCCCCUUCCUCCCUCACCACUCCUUGUGUGUCUGUCCCGAAGCUGUGCACUCUAAUGAAGAGGACGACCAUCCCAGACAGAGGAGGACCAGUCUUUGUUCUAGGGUACGUGAGUAGCUGCACUCCCCUGCUAGAACCUCCAAACAAGCUCUCAAUUAUAAACAAAUAGCACCAAAACAUUUAGCAACAGUCUUUUUGCU
rnacentral:snRNA from 10 species